GACGAACGCUGGCGGCGUGCCUAACACAUGCAAGUCGAGCGGGGAUUACCGGAUGAAGUUUUCGGAUGGAAUCUGGUAAUUCUAGCGGCGGACGGGUGGGUAACGCGUGAGCAACCUGCCUCUCACAGGGGGAUAACGCAGCGAAAGUUGCACUAAUACCGCAUGAGACCACGCUUCUGACAUGGGAGAGGGGUCAAAGGAGCAAUCCGGUGAGAGAUGGGCUCGCGUCUGAUUAGCUGGUUGGUGAGGUAACGGCCCACCAAGGCGACGAUCGGUAGCCGGACUGAGAGGUUGAACGGCCACAUUGGGACUGAGACACGGCCCAGACUCCUACGGGAGGCAGCAGUGGGGAAUAUUGCACAAUGGAGGAAACUCUGAUGCAGCGACGCCGCGUGGAGGAAGAAGGUCUUCGGAUUGUAAACUCCUGUUGUUGAGGACGAUAAUGACGGUACUCAACAAGGAAGUGACGGCUAACUACGUGCCAGCAGCCGCGGUAAAACGUAGGUCACAAGCGUUGUCCGGAAUUACUGGGUGUAAAGGGAGCGCAGGCGGGAAUGCAAGUUGGGAGUGAAAUCUACGGGCUCAACCCGUAAACUGCUCUCAAAACUGUAUUUCUUGAGUAGUGCAGAGGUAGGCGGAAUUCCCGGUGUAGCGGUGGAAUGCGUAGAUAUCGGGAGGAACACCAGUGGCGAAGGCGGCCUACUGGGCACCGACUGACGCUGAGGCUCGAAAGUGUGGGUAGCAAACAGGAUUAGAUACCCUGGUAGUCCACACCGUAAACGAUGAUUACUAAGUGUUGGGAGAUUGACCCUCUCAGUGCCGCAGUUAACACAAUAAGUAAUCCACCUGGGGAGUACGACCGCAAGGUUGAAACUCAAAGGAAUUGACGGGGGCCCGCACAAGCAGUGGAGUAUGUGGUUUAAUUCGACGCAACGCGAAGAACCUUACCAAGUCUUGACAUCCUGCGGCGAGUACAGAAAUGCACUUUUCCUUCGGGACGCAGAGACAGGUGGUGCAUGGUUGUCGUCAGCUCGUGUCGUGAGAUGUUGGGUUAAGUCCCGCAACGAGCGCAACCCUUAUGGAUAGUUACUACGCAAGAGGACUCUAUUCAGACUGCCGUUGACAAAACGGAGGAAGGUGAGGAUGACGUCAAAUCAUCAUGCCCUUUAUGACUUGGGCUACACACGUACUACAAUGGCGUUAAACAAAGAGAAGCGAGACCGCGAGGUGGAGCAAAACUCAAAAACAACGUCCCAGUUCAGACUGCAGGCUGCAACUCGCCUGCACGAAGUCGGAAUUGCUAGUAAUCGCAGAUCAGCAUGCCGCGGUGAAUACGUUCCCGGGCCUUGUACACACCGCCCGUCACACCAUGAGAGCCGGGGGGACCCGAAGUCGGUAGUCUAACCGCAAGGAGGACGCCGCCGAAGGUAAAACUGGUGAUUGGGGUG
rnacentral:rRNA from 1 species